GUACUAAUUUUUCGAGCACAUGACAUCCAGAUAGAAGCUUUGUUAAACGUCAUCAAAGUCAAGAUUUGGUAUAAACGUUUAACAAACUUCUAUUUGGAUGUCAUGUGCUCGAAGAGUUAGAACUA